GGGUGNGUAACACGUGGGUAACCUGCCNGUAAGANUGGGAUAACUNCGGGAAACCGGGGNUNAUACCNGAUGNUUGANUGAACCGCNUGGUUCAAUUAUNAAAGGUGGNUUUUAGCUANCACUUACAGAUGGACCCGCGGCGCAUUAGCUAGUUGGUGAGGUAACGGCUCACCAAGGCAACGAUGCGUAGCCGACCUGAGAGGGUGAUCGGCCACACUGGGACUGAGACACGGCCCAGACUCCUACGGGAGGCAGCAGUAGGGAAUCUUCCGCAAUGGACGAAAGUCUGACGGAGCAACGCCGCGUGAGUGAUGAAGGUUUUCGGAUCGUAAAACUCUGUUGUUAGGGAAGAACAAGUACCGUUCGAAUAGGGCGGUACCUUGACGGUACCUAACCAGAAAGCCACGGCUAACUACGUGCCAGCAGCCGCGGUAAUACGUAGGUGGCAAGCGUUGUCCGGAAUUAUUGGGCGUAAAGCGCGCGCAGGCGGUUUCUUAAGUCUGAUGUGAAAGCCCCCGGCUCAACCGGGGAGGGUCAUUGGAAACUGGGGAACUUGAGUGCAGAAGAGGAGAGUGGAAUUCCACGUGUAGCGGUGAAAUGCGUAGAGAUGUGGAGGAACACCAGUGGCGAAGGCGACUCUCUGGUCUGUAACUGACGCUGAGGCGCGAAAGCGUGGGGAGCGA
rnacentral:rRNA from 2 species